rnacentral:lncRNA from 1 species
GGGGAUCUUUCUGACUUCUCUUCUUAUUGGAGAUCUUCUUUUCUUUCGCCUAUCUAUGGAGCUCCUAAGCUUCCUCCAUCUGGGCAUACUUUCAAGCUUGGACCAGUACGUUGGCAUAGUCCUUUAGAAACUUCUUGUCAAGAGAGAAGGCAAGGCGCUCAUUCUGUAAGCCUUGCUUGAGCACCAACAUUGCUACUGACUGGUUGAGAUAUCAUACCUCAAGUGUGGUGGAAUUGAAGC